GGGGAAUAUUGGACAAUGGGCGAAAGCCUGAUCCAGCCAUGCCGCGUGUGUGAAGAAGGUCUUCGGAUUGUAAAGCACUUUAAGUUGGGAGGAAGGGCAGUAAGUUAAUACCUUGCUGUUUUGACGUUACCAACAGAAUAAGCACCGGCUAACUUCGUGCCAGCAGCCGCGGUAAUACGAAGGGUGCAAGCGUUAAUCGGAAUUACUGGGCGUAAAGCGCGCGUAGGUGGUUCGUUAAGUUGGAUGUGAAAGCCCCGGGCUCAACCUGGGAACUGCAUCCAAGACUGGCGAGCUAGAGUAUGGCAGAGGGUGGUGGAAUUUCCUGUGUAGCGGUGAAAUGCGUAGAUAUAGGAAGGAACACCAGUGGCGAAGGCGGAUUACUGGACGACAACUGACGGUGAGGCGCGAAAGCGUGGGGAGCAAACA
rnacentral:rRNA from 1 species